rnacentral:rRNA from 1 species
CCUACGGGGGGCAGCAGUGAGGAAUAUUGGUCAAUGGACGAGAGUCUGAACCAGCCAAGUAGCGUGAAGGAUGACUGCCCUAUGGGUUGUAAACUUCUUUUAUAUGGGAAUAAAACGUUCCACGUGUGGGAUUUUGUAUGUACCAUAUGAAUAAGGAUCGGCUAACUCCGUGCCAGCAGCCGCGGUAAUACGGAGGAUCCGAGCGUUAUCCGGAUUUAUUGGGUUUAAAGGGAGCGUAGGCGGAUUGUUAAGUCAGUUGUGAAAGUUUGCGGCUCAACCGUAAAAUUGCAGUUGAAACUGGCAGUCUUGAGUACAGUAGAGGUGGGCGGAAUUCGUGGUGUAGCGGUGAAAUGCUUAGAUAUCACGAAGAACUCCGAUUGCGAAGGCAGUUCACUGGACUGCAACUGACACUGAGGCUCGAAAGUGUGGGUAUCAAACAGGAUUAGAUACCCCAGUAGUC